CUUACAAAACUUUCUGACUGUGGUUCUGUUUUAGGAAUUGAAGACAAUUGUCCGAUAUCACACAUUCACACAGAUGGCUUCCUGAUUAACGCAAUACAUUAACACAAAUACACCAGCCUUCACUGUACAGCUGAACUCAUUUAAAAGGCUGAGACUGACUGUGAGGAAGUGACAUUUGCUUUCAAGUUCCCCAGUCCAACUGGCACUCUGCAUUGACACUGCCUGCCUUCACACUACGGUUUGUUUCAGCCUGGCUUGGAACAGUGUUGGAGAUGAGUUUGCCAAGAAGCUUGCCGAGGUUCUAACGAGAUUCAAGCGAUUAAAAAAACUUGAUUUCGAGUGUAAUUCAAUAACAUUCCUUGGGGCUGAAGCAAUAGCAGAGAAGCUAAGAUCUUGUUCGUCUAUUGAGGUGAUAAGGCUGUGGAAGAAUAACAUAAAGACUGAAGAGGCCCAGAACCUGCAGCAGA